GACGAACGCUGGCGGCGUGCUUAACACAUGCAAGUCGAACGGGGUCCAUCCAGUGGCAACACUGGUGAAGACCUAGUGGCGAACGGGUGAGUAACACGUGAGGAACCUGCCCUGAAGAUCGGGAUAAGCCGGGGAAACCUGGUCUAAUACCGAAUGCCUUCGCACCCCCGCAUGAGGGAGCGAAGAAAUGGAUUCCGCUUCAGGAGGGUCUCGCGGCCUAUCAGCUUGUUGGUGGGGUAACGGCCUACCAAGGCUCCGACGGGUAGCUGGUCUGAGAGGACGAUCAGCCACACUGGGACUGAGACACGGCCCAGACUCCUACGGGAGGCAGCAGUGGGGAAUCUUGCGCAAUGGGCGAAAGCCUGACGCAGCAACGCCGCGUGGGGGAUGAAGGCCUUCGGGUUGUAAACCCCUUUCAGCAGGAACGAAUCUGACGGUACCUGCAGAAGAAGGUCCGGCCAACUACGUGCCAGCAGCCGCAGUAAGAC
rnacentral:rRNA from 1 species